rnacentral:rRNA from 1 species
UACGUAGGUGGCAAGCGUUAUCCGGAUUUAUUGGGCGUGAAGGGAACGCAGGCGGUCUUUUAAGUCUGAUGUGAAAGCCUUCGGCUUAACCGUAGUAGUGCAUUGGAAACUGGGAGACUUGAGUGCAGAAGAGGAGAGUGGAACUCCAUGUGUAGCGGUGAAAUGCGUAGGUAUAUGGAAGAACACCAGUGGCGAAAGCGGCUCUCUGGUCUGUAACUGACGCUGAGGUUCGAAAGCGUGGGUAGCAAACAGG